UUUGGAUUAUGGCUCAGAUUGAACGCUGGCGGCAGGCCUAACACAUGCAAGUCGAGCGGAUGACGGGAGCUUGCUCCUUGAUUCAGCGGCGGACGGGUGAGUAAUGCCUAGGAAUCUGCCUGGUAGUGGGGGACAACGUUUCGAAAGGAACGCUAAUACCGCAUACGUCCUACGGGAGAAAGCAGGGGACCUUCGGGCCUUGCGCUAUCAGAUGAGCCUAGGUCGGAUUAGCUAGUUGGUGGGGUAAUGGCUCACCAAGGCGACGAUCCGUAACUGGUCUGAGAGGAUGAUCAGUCACACUGGAACUGAGACACGGUCCAGACUCCUACGGGAGGCAGCAGUGGGGAAUAUUGGACAAUGGGCGAAAGCCUGAUCCAGCCAUGCCGCGUGUGUGAAGAAGGUCUUCGGAUUGUAAAGCACUUUAAGUUGGGAGGAAGGGCAGUAAGUUAAUACCUUGCUGUUUUGACGUUACCGACAGAAUAAGCACCGGCUAACUCUGUGCCAGCAGCCGCGGUAAUACAGAGGGUGCAAGCGUUAAUCGGAAUUACUGGGCGUAAAGCGCGCGUAGGUGGUUUGUUAAGUUGGAUGUGAAAGCCCCGGGCUCAACCUGGGAACUGCAUCCAAAACUGGCAAGCUAGAGUACGGUAGAGGGUGGUGGAAUUUCCUGUGUAGCGGUGAAAUGCGUAGAUAUAGGAAGGAACACCAGUGGCGAAGGCGACCACCUGGACUGAUACUGAC
rnacentral:rRNA from 1 species